AUGGAUAAGCCUCGCCCUGGGAAAACCACCUUCGUGAUCAUGGUAUCUCCCCUGCCAGGUAAGUAUGAGUUGCAGCCGCCCCGCGCGCGCUCUCCCUCGCGCUCAACGCACUUUAAACGCACGGUCACCGCACUCGCGACACCGCCUCGCCGCGCGCGUAGUGGGGGACUGCGUUCGCGCUCUCCCCUGGUUUUUCUUGGUCUGAAAGAAAGAACGUGCAGGGCACUCUGUGCUUUAUCGUACUAACAUUCGGUUGGAUAUUAGGAGCCAUCUCACGACAGUAGAUGUCAGAGGAGCCGUUUGCCACUGACAAGACGACAGACAAUCCCUAGUGGUGUGCGGUGGGUGGCUCUCAGGAUGUCUGCAGAGGCCGGCAAAUCUUUCUGGACCAACCUGGUCCUGAGUGUGUAGCCAGUGCUAUACAGAGAAGAGAGAGGAAGAAAAAGGAAGAGGAGAGAAGAUAAAUGAAAAGGAAAAAAAGCCUUGCAAAAGCCAGAUCUUACUUUCUCCACCCCCACCCCCCCCUUUCAGGCGUGAACUCGGCGAUGCUGCACCGCGUGAGUGCUGCUGGGAUUAAACUGGAUCAAAAAUUAACUCCUUAAAUCAGGAAUACCACGACUGGAGCCUGGUUGCUCUCAUAGAAGAGGUGACUAUCCAUUUUUUGCUAGUUGCCGGUUGUAAAGAUUCCCAGCCCGGGGGAACGGGACAAGACUCUGUAACCUGUCAGUCAACUGUGUAGUAAUUAGCUGCAAUUUGUGGCCCAAGAUGUUUUGUUUUUCUUUCAAGACUAACUUGUCUAAACUUAGGACUUAAACAGGCAGGAAAGGGUCGUUAAUAACACCCUGAUUUAAGUCUCGCUCACCCAAAACCCCAUGAUUUCCUUCUCGGGGUCCACCCCACCCCGUAGCAGUCUUUUCAACCACCUCAUCACAAGUUACCUUACCAUCAAACUGAGUUGAGUGUUACCGCCGUAGCAAGUGCUAGGCAUAAGAGACACCUUGCAUCUGGCUGCUGACCGGAAGAAGCUACAACUGAGUCUUAUUUUCAACCGAGAAGACCAGGGGAGAGCGCGAACGCAGUCCCCCACUACCACAAAUUAUGCAGUCGAGUUUCCCGCAUUUGGGGAAAUCGCAGGGGUCAGCACAUCCGGAGUGCAAUGGAUAAGCCUCGCCCUGGGAAAACCACCUUCGUGAUCAUGGUAUCUCCCCUGCCAGGUAAGUAUGAGUUGCAGCCGCCCCGCGCGCGC
rnacentral:lncRNA from 1 species